rnacentral:snRNA from 1 species
GCCUCCGGGCAAUUGAUCAAUGAAAAGAUACAGAGAAGAUUAUCAUUGCCCCUGCACUAAGGAUGACACGCUCAAUCAUAGAGAUGCACUAUUUUCUU